UACAGAGGGGGCAAGCGUUGUUCGGAAUUACUGGGCGUAAAGGGCGCGUAGGCGGCCUGUUAAGUCGAACGUGAAAUCCCCGGGCUCAACCCGGGAACUGCGUCCGAUACUGGCAGGCUUGAAUCCGGGAGAGGGAUGUGGAAUUCCAGGUGUAGCGGUGAAAUGCGUAGAUAUCUGGAGGAACACCGGUGGCGAAGGCGGCUCACUGGUCCGGUUCUGACGCUGAGGCGCGAAAGCGUGGGGAGCAAACAGG
rnacentral:rRNA from 1 species